rnacentral:rRNA from 1 species
UACAGAGGUCUCAAGCGUUGUUCGGAUUCAUUGGGCGUAAAGGGUGCGUAGGUGGCGGGGUUAGUCAGGUGUGAAAUCUCGGGGCUCAACCCCGAAACUGCACUUGAUACUGCCUUGCUAGAGUACUGGAGAGGAGAUUGGAAUUUACGGUGUAGCAGUGAAAUGCGUAGAUAUCGUAAGGAAGACCAGUGGCGAAGGCGAAUCUCUGGACAGUUACUGACACUGAGCACGAAGGCCAGGGGAGCAAACGGG